rnacentral:rRNA from 1 species
ACGGGAGGCAGCAGCGGGGAAUAUUGGACAAUGGGGGAAACCCUGAUCCAGCGACGCCGCGUGAGUGAAGAAGUAUUUCGGUAUGUAAAGCUCUAUCAGCAGGGAAGAUAAUGACGGUACCUGACUAAGAAGCCCCGGCUAACUACGUGCCAGCAGCCGCGGUAAUACGUAGGGGGCAAGCGUUAUCCGGAUUUACUGGGUGUAAAGGGAGCGUAGACGGAAGGCCAAGUCUGAUGUGAAAACCCAGGGCUCAACCCUGGGACUGCAUUGGAAACUGGUCAUCUAGAGUGCAGGAGGGGUAAGCGGAAUUCCUAGUGUAGCGGUGAAAUGCGUAGAUAUUAGGAGGAACACCAGUGGCGAAGGCGGCUUACUGGACUGUAACUGACGCUGAGGCGCGAAAGCGUGGGGAGCGAACAGGAUUAGAUACCCUGGUA